rnacentral:rRNA from 1 species
GCUAAUACCGUAUAACAACNAAAUCCGCAUGGAUUUUGUUUGAAAGGUGGCUUCNGCUAUCACUUCUGGAUGAUCCCGCGGCGUAUUAGUUAGUUGGUGAGGUAAAGGCCCACCAAGACGAUGAUACGUAGCCGACCUGAGAGGGUAAUCGGCCACAUUGGGACUGA